AGGUGUGAUCAUACCAGCGUUAAUGCGCCACAUCCAAUCAGAACUCUGCAGUUAAACACCCUUGGGAUAGAGUAUUACUACAAUGGGUGACCUCCAGGGAAGUCCUAGUGUUUCACCCU
rfam:Picea glauca, whole genome shotgun sequence.